rnacentral:rRNA from 1 species
UACAGAGGGUGCGAGCGUUAAUCGGAAUUACUGGGCGUAAAGCGUGCGUAGACGGCUAUCUAAGUCGGGUGUGAAAGCCCCGGGCUCAACCUGGGAAUUGCAUUCGAGACUGAAUAGCUAGGGUACGGUAGAGGGAAGUGGAAUUUCCGGUGUAGCGGAGAAAUGCGUAGAUAUCGGAAGGAACAUCAGUGGCGAAAGCGACUUCCUGGACCAGUACCGACGUUCAGGCACGAAAGCGUGGGGAGCAAACAGG